GAGAAGUGUUGUAAUCUUAAAAAUUGAUUCGGUAUUACUUUAUGGUUCAUAUACAACUAUCACUUUCAAAUCACUUUUAUUAUGUUGUGUUUGUUAUUGUAUAUGAAUUAUAAUUUUAUUAAUUCAGGUGCUUGGAAAGCUUAAAAUAGAAAUCCAUAGAAAGAAUUUAAAGCAAUUUUGACGACCACCGUCGAAUAUGCAUCCACCUUAAACAAGUCAAUGACUUGUGCACGGUGUUGGAGGACCUGAAAAUGUCAAAUUUUUUACUGGCCAAAUUUUAAUGAUAAAAGAAAAAUAUCUUUUUCUUUAAACUCUAGCCUUUUCUUUAUUUUAUUUUUCUUGUAAUUUCAUGGGUCAUACUAUAUUUUUUUAUGCUUUGUAAUUUUUUAAAAGAAAUUAAUUGUAUGUCUUUUCUAUCUUGAAAAAUGCUCUUCGCUCUUUAUUUUUUUUUUUCCUUUUAUGGAUUUUCAAAAAUAACUUUAUGAUAUUAGUUAUCUAUUUGAUAAAUAAGUAUGUGCCAAAAAAAAUUUCUUUGUAUAUAUGACAAGUGAAUAAACUUGCACUUUGUAAGUUGUAAGAUUCAAAAAAUAUUCAACAUUUUUCAUAAAUAGACACUACUAGAAAUUACCCCUAUUGCAACGAUCUUUUGGCAACGGUUCCAAAAGUGUUGCGAUAGAUGGUCUAUUGCAAUGGUUUCAACCAUUUCAAAAAAAAAUUUGUUCUAGUACUUCAAUAACCGUUUCAAUUGGUGGAUUACCAUUGCAAUAGGGUAUGUUAUAGCAACGAAUUCUGUAACCGUUGCCAUAGAGUCACCUAUGGCAACACGUUUUUGAAAAAAAACCUAUUGCAUCGUUUUUUAUUUUUUCCUCCCUAUUUUUUCACAAAUUCUGCCAAAAGUUUAAAAAAUAUAUAAUAAAAAUUUAAAAAAUAUAUUACAAAAAUUAAAAAAUUAUAUAUACAUAAUAACGUUUCAGUACAGUACUGUCUCAUCAACUUGCUCUCACUCAGUCGACAACACAGCGCCGACUUCCCAGCCGCUCUGACUGCUGCUACGACCGCCGCUCCGUUCGCCGCUCCGACCAUCAAUCCAAUUUACAAUUGCCCGAUAAAAAAUUAGCAGAGCAGACAGAAAAUUAGGAUUAUAAUGGAUAGUAAGGAUAAAAGUUGGAUGAAUUAUUUAAUAUGGUCUGAUGAGUUCCAACAUGGAGUGAAAAACUUUCUUGAGAAGGUAUUUGAAUGAGCUUCUCAAGGAAAUGAGAUAUUAUGUCCUUGUAAAGACCGCAAGAAUCAUUAUUGGCAUUAUAGAGAUGUGGUGGAGGAUCACUUGCUUUCUAGAGGGUUUCAUGCUGGUUACACUAAAUGGACUUUCCGUGGAGAAAAUGCUUCCUCGAGAAAGACACAUCAUCCAAUCAAUGAUGAUGAAGGUUCAAAUAUGCGAGAUGAUAUUGAUGGACUACUUCACGAUACAUUUAGAAAUGUAGAGGCUGAAUUGGGACAUGAAGAAGGGGAUGGAGAGGGAUUACCUGAAGAUGCAAAGAAUUUUUUUAAAUUAUUGGAGGAUGGAAAGCAACAAUUAUAUCCGGGGUGUGAAAAUUUUAGUAACUUGAGCUUCACCAUUCGUUUUUUCUUGUUUAAAUCAUUGCAUGGGUUGAGUAAUGUAGCAUUUUCAGAUUUGUUAGUGUUGAUAAAAGAGGCAUUUCCCUUUGCUCAGAUACCAGAGUCUUUCAAUAAGGCCAGAAAUAUGAUAAGAGAUUUGGGUCUUGAUCAUGAAAAAAUACAUGCAUGCCCUAAUGAUUGCAUGUUAUUCUGGAAGGACAAUGAGAACGCUGAGAAUUGCUCUAUAUGUGGGACUUUUAGAUGGAAGAGUGUUGAUGGUUUCUUGACCACUGCAAGGUCUAAAACUGUUCCAGAACCUGUAUUUGCUGAUUUGCUUCAGUAUUGAAACUCCAAAGAAGCUAAGGAUAAGUCUGAUGCUAACAAACAGAAUCGGAAAAUGUGGAAGUAUCCUCACACUGUUGGGAAAACAAGUUUUCCUGUAAUCCGCGAGAAAAAAAAGGAAAAUUCAGGUGCUGUGUCAAAUAAAGAAUUCUUUGUGGAUACUAAAAAAAGUAAAUCUGGACGAGUGUAAAAGGAUUCAUCUGAAGAUAUUACAAAUAAAUAGUAUGAAAUUUUCUAAUUCAAAAUUGGUCAAGAUCAUUUGUUCUUUAUUAAAUAUUGAUUCAACUCAAUUUACUUGCUCGUUUUGGAUCUGACUUGUAGCUUGAAAUGGAGAGAGUAGAAACUCAAGAAAGUGAAGAUGGUAGUCAAUCAGUUGAUGCAUUCAUAACAGUUAUGGGUCUUGAUCAUCCAGGAUGAGUAAGACUAUAUGGAUGCAGGGUGACCAAGUCUCUUUUGAAAUAAAAAAUAAGUGAUUCUGGACCCUCUUCAAAUAUUGUUGCGGAUGAAUUGGUGGAAAAAAGAAUGGAUGAACUAGAAAAGAGGAUACAAGAAAGAAUGCAGGCUCAAAGAGAUGCCAUUGAACGAGAUGUUACAAUGAACAUCAUUGCAUAAUUGUAAUGUCAAAAUCUAGGAUUAACACUUGAUCCUAAUAUGCUAAGAUUCAAUGCUCAUUCGUCAAGGGAAGAGACUGCUAUUCAACAAAUCAAUCGUCCAUUUAUUGGGAGUAACAAUGAAGAUUUUCAAAAUAAAGGAGAAGAUGAAGAAAGUGAUGAAGAAAUUGACCGACCUUGAGAAAAUUUUCGAAUUAUUUAUAGAUAUUUUAGUAUUGAUCUUUUUGAUAUUGAAUUUUGUGAAACUUAUCGCCACUCAAACUUGAUACUUUAUGGGAAAACUAAUGACCGUUUGACUUUAACA